UUUACGAAAUGAUCAUGGGUUUAUAAAUGAGAAAUAUUAUCUCAAGUAUGAGGCCUUUUGGGGAAGCCCAAAGCAAAGCCAUGAGAGCUUAUACUCAAAGUGGACA